GAUGAACGCUGGCGGCGUGCCUAAUACAUGCAAGUCGAGCGAAUGGAUUAAGAGCUUGCUCUUAUGAAGUUAGCGGCGGACGGGUGAGUAACACGUGGGUAACCUGCCCAUAAGACUGGGAUAGCUCCGGGAAACCGGGGCUAAUACUGGAUAACAUUUUGAACCGCAUGGUUCGAAAUUGAAAGGCGGCUUCGGCUGUCACUUAUGGAUGGACCCGCGUCGCAUUAGCUAGUUGGUGAGGUAACGGCUCACCAAGGCAACGAUGCGUAGCCGACCUGGGGGGGUGAUCGGCCACACUGGGACUGAGACACGGCCCAGACUCCUACGGGAGGCAGCAGUAGGGAAUCUUCCGCAAUGGACGAAAGUCUGACGGAGCAACGCCGCGUGAGUGAUGAAGGCUUUCGGGUCGUAAAACUCUGUUGUUAGGGAAGAACAAGUGCUAGUUGAAUAAGCUGGCACCUUGACGGUACCUAACCAGAAAGCCACGGCUAACUACGUGCCAGCCGCCGCGGUAA
rnacentral:rRNA from 1 species